GACAGAGGUGCCGAGCGUUAGGCGGAAUCACUGGGCUUAAAGCGUGUGUAGGCGGACUUCUAAGUACCUUGUGAAAUCCCACGGCUUAACCGUGGAACUGCUUGGUAUACUGGUUGUCUUGGGCCAUCUAGGGGCUACUGGAACAAACGGUGGAGCGGUGAAAUGCGUAGAUAUCGUUUGGAACGCCAAUGGUGAAAACAAGUAGCUGGGGAUGUGCCGACGCUGAGACACGAAAGCCAGGGAGGCGAACGGG
rnacentral:rRNA from 1 species